rnacentral:rRNA from 1 species
AGCGUUGUUCGGAAUUACUGGGCGUAAAGCGUACGUAGGCGGCUUUGUAAGUUAGAGGUGAAAGCCCGGGGCUCAACUCCGGAAUUGCCUUUAAGACUGCAUCGCUUGAAUCAUGGAGAGGUUAGUGGAAUUCCGAGUGUAGAGGUGAAAUUCGUAGAUAUUCGGAGGAACACCAGUGGCGAAGGCGACUAACUGGACAUGUAUUGACGCUGAGGUACGAAAGCGUGGGGAGCAAACAGGAUUAGAUACCCUGGUAGUCCACGCCGUAAACGAUGAUGACUAGCUGUCGGGGCGCUUAGCGUUUCGGUGGCGCAGCUAACGCGUUAAGUCAUCCGCCUGGGGAGUACGGCCGCAAGGUUAAAACUCAAAGAAAUUGACGGGGGCCUGCACAAGCGGUGGAGCAUGUGGUUUAAUUCGAAGC